rnacentral:tRNA from 1 species
GCUCUCUUAGCUCAGUUGGUAGAGCGCGGCACUAGUACCUUCCAAGUCAAUGCCGAGGUCGCCAGUUCAACUCUGUCAGGGAGCA